GGGCGCGUAGCGCAAUUGGAUAGAGCAUCAGCCUUCGAAGCUGAGGGUUGCAGGUUCGAGCCCUGCCGCGCCCACCA
rnacentral:tRNA from 1 species